rnacentral:rRNA from 1 species
ACGCUCGACACCUACGGGAGCAGCAGUGGGGAAUAUUGCACAAUGGGGGAAACCCUGAUGCAGCGACGCCGCGUGGAGGAAGAAGGUCUUCGGAUUGUAAACUCCUGUUGUUGGGGAAAAAGAGGAUGGUACCCAACAAGGAAGUGACGGCUAACUACGUGCCAGCGGCCGCAGUAAUCUGAGCGGGCUGGCAAGGC